rnacentral:lncRNA from 1 species
GUCCCGCCCACUUCCAACGGUGGUGCCCGCGGCCCACUAUUGCUGGUUCGGCAGCGCGUCUACGUCUUCGCCGUGGACUGGUCCACGCUUUCCCUACUACAUUUCUUUCUCGAGGGAUUGUUCCCUUCCUUUGGUUUCGUGGUCUCUGCUGCUGGGGUCCGGAAACUGCUGAAAGGAACUGGAUCUCACCUCUGCGGGUGCAGGCAGGAGGCGGCGGGGAGCUGAAGCAGAACGACCUGAAGAGAGUUCCUGGAUGUGGAGUUUGUUUUUUUAGAACCAUCCUUGCGCUGUGAAGUGUUUGAUGAAAAAAUGUUUGGAAGAUUGACUUUUCCACAACUGCUUUUUGCUAGCCUCCUUGGAAUUGCUGGAGGAAUAUAUAUUUAUCAACCAGUAUUUGAACAGUAUUACAGAGAUCAGAAGGAGUUAAAAGAAAAGAUGAAAUUGGUACAAGACUCAGAAGAGAAGAAUAGUUGAUACAUGGAGUUGAACUGUAAUUGCUUAAAAUUCCAUUGAAAUUAUGCAUUGAGUAUUAAUAAUUAGUAAAAACUUAUUCCCUAUAAAUAGUAAAAAGUUAUCAAUUAUACUUUAAAUGUAAAUACAUUAUUGAUAGUGGUUUUAAAUUAGCUUUAAAAGUAGCACUGUCAAUUUUAAUGUUUACUUUUACUUUUUGCCAUUCUAUGUCUUUUCACCAGGAUCUAUGAGUAUGUUUCCUUUUAAGCAAAAAUGAAUGUAUUAAGGAAUAUUUUAUUUCCUCGUUGAGGCUUAUUUUUCUGGGAAUGCGGCCUAUACAUUGGCAGUCUAGAGUAUAUAAACUAGCUGGAAUUGUGUUUACAGUUAUGUUUGUAAAUGAAGUUAACCAAGUCAACUACCUCAUGCAGAAUGCACCUC